rnacentral:lncRNA from 1 species
GGAGUUUAUAAGGCCACUGGAACAACUUUUCAAAACAUGCUACUGUCUGAUUCCCCAUGAUAGUGUUCCCUGACUUCUCUGGAGCAUGCAGGAAAAUCUGGUGAAUGUUACAAUUGUUUUCAGACAGGAAGUGACUGCAUCAUUAACACUAUCCAGAAGUGAGCAGCGAUAAACCUUGGAACAGCUACAGACAGAAAAGCUGGGCAGAAUGACACAAGAUGUGAUGCUGAAUAUCAACCUGGCAUUAGUGGCAAAUUCCAGCGCCACCCAGAAUAUGUGAAAAUAUCUGAAGAAGAUACAGUAUGUUUUCUACUGCAUUGGAGCUUGUAUAGUUUCUUGUUUUCCAGAUGCAUACA